UACGUAGGGGGCAAGCGUUGUCCGGAAUCAUUGGGCGUAAAGCGCGUGUAGGCGGUCCGGUAAGUCCGCUGUGAAAGUCGGGGGCUCAACCCUCGGAUGCCGGUGGAUACUGUCGGGCUUGAGUACGGAAGAGGCGGUGGAAUUCCUGGUGUAGCGGUGAAAUGCGCAGAUAUCAGGAGGAACACCAAUUGCGAAGGCAGCUCGCUGGGACGUUACUGACGCUGAGACGCGAAAGCGUGGGGAGCAAACAGG
rnacentral:rRNA from 1 species